AUUGAACGCUGGCGGCAUGCCUUACACAUGCAAGUCGAACGGCAGCACGGGGGCAACCCUGGUGGCGAGUGGCGCACGGGUGAGUAACACGUAAGUAAUCUACCUUUGAGUGGGAAUAACAGUCGGAAACGACUGCUAAUACCGCAUAAUGCAGCGGCAUCGCAAGAUGACAGUUGUUAAAGGAGCAAUCCGCUUAAAGAGGAGCUUGCGGCAGAUUAGCUAGUUGUAAGUAAUGCUUACCAAGGCUACGAUCUGUAUCCGGUCUAAGAGGACGGUCGGACACACUGACACUGAAUAACGGGUCAGACUCCUACGGGAGGCAGCAGUCGGGAAUUUUGGGCAAUGGGCG
rnacentral:rRNA from 1 species